rnacentral:tmRNA from 1 species
GGGGGCGAAAGGUUUCGACGGGGACAGUUGAGACCAAAGGUUGCGCGUCGGGCUUCCGUUUGCCCGUAAAACCAGCGGAAAAAACUUAAGCGUCAACUCACACGAGUUCGCGCUGGCCGCUUAAUGCGGUCCCGCUCCCCUGAGUUCGCCAAUAGGCUCAGGAAAGGGCGUCAUUGAUAUUGGCUGGCUUAAAUCACUCGGCUCAUUGGUGAUUUGAGCGAGACCCAAAGAUGAGCUGGCUUUAUGGAAUCCUGCCCAUAGGAGACCAUAAAGCGAGAUAAAAAAUAUGGGCUACACGCGUAGCAGCCAUUGGUUGAAGGUCCUCGGACCCGGGUUCAAUUCCCGGCGCCUCCACCA